rnacentral:snRNA from 1 species
AAAAUUGCCUGGCAGGGGAGAUAUCAUGAUUACAAAGAUCAUGAAUUAUCAGGAAGAUGGUUUUCCUCAGAUAAGCUUAGCCAUUAUACUCUAGAUGUGCUGACCCUCAUGGUUUCUCCAAAUGUGGAAAACCCAUUGCAUAAUUUGUGGUAGUAGGAGUUUGUGUUCACACUUUUCUCCAG